UACGGAGGGAGCUAGCGUUAUUCGGAAUUACUGGGCGUAAAGCGCACGUAGGCGGCUUUGUAAGUUAGAGGUGAAAGCCUGGAGCUCAACUCCAGAAUUGCCUUUAAGACUGCAUCGCUUGAAUCCAGGAGAGGUGAAUGGAAUUCCGAGUGUAGAGGUGAAAUUCGUAGAUAUUCGGAAGAACACCAGUGGCGAAGGCGGCUCACUGGACUGGUAUUGACGCUGAGGUGCGAAAGCGUGGGGAG
rnacentral:rRNA from 1 species